AUAAAAAUUGCAGAAAAAAAACAAAGAAUUGCCAAUAAAAAUCAAUUUUCGAAAGUAAUCUUUUCUUUUUGUACUUUUAGGGCUUAACGGCGGGCACCCAGAGCGUAGAACCUUGACGGCAGCUUGUGACUAAGGCUUUUUCCCAAAACAUGAGGACGAACAAAGGAAUGUAGGUCGAUACCACAUUAAAUCGACGAUCUAAACAAUGCCUGGUAACCUAACCUUGAAUUGAGCUCAGUUCAAUGUCGCGUACCUGCAUACCAACACAACGAAAAACCGCGGAAUUUAAUUAUGUAGCUUAGUCGUCCGUCUGUCUGUCCGGAGUUAAAUAAGUUGCAGUGUCAAUUGGGAAUGAUACCAAGCCACGCUGGAGCAGCAAUGGCGUAAACUCUGCGCCUCCCUCGGUGGAUUGGAUGGGCGAUGGUGUGGCUUGUAGGCUCCAAUUCUUCAGGAAUUUCUAGGUUUAAGAUUUAUUUUCUUGGUUUAGAUUUUUAGUUAAUUGUUGUGGUUUUUCUUUUCAAUUUUGUUAAAUUGUUUCGAAAUUUUGUUUUAAAUUUAAGUAAGUUCAAUUUGUCUUUUAAUUUUCAAUUUUUGUGAAAAUUAUUCGUUUUGUUUUAAGUUUUAUUUCAACUUUUCGCCUUUUGUCGUUAACUUUUGCUUAAUUAUUUUAAG